rnacentral:rRNA from 1 species
GCAAGUCUGGUGCCAGCAGCCGCGGUAAUUCCAGCUCCAAUAGCGUAUAUUAAAGUUGUUGCAGUUAAAAAGCUCGUAGUUGAACCUUGGGCCUGGCUGGCCGGUCCGCCUCACCGCGUGUACUGGUCCGGCCGGGUCUUUCCCUCUGGGGAUCGCCGUGCCCUUUACUGGGCGCGCGCGGGAACCAGGACUUUUACUUUGAAAAAAUUAGAGUGUUCAAAGCAGGCCUAUGCUCGAAUACAUUAGCAUGGAAUAAUAGAAUAGGACGUGUGGCUCUAUUUUGUUGGUUUCUAGGACCGCCGUAAUGAUUAAUAGGGAUAGUCGGGGGCAUCAGUAUUCAAUUGUCAGAGGUGAAAUUCUUGGAUUUAUUGAAGACUAACUACUGCGAAAGCAUUUGCCAA